UAUUGGUUCCUAUGCAAAUCGUAUUCUUCUUACCCCUUCAGUCAAUAAGCAAGUGCAUGCACGACAAGUAUGGAAUUGGAACCAAGCUAGCUGCUUCAAGUCAUUCGCUAAUGAGAUUCUUUUAUAUCCAUACCCAAAUUUCAAUUGAAGAGAGAUAUUAAUAAGUCAGUGAUAACCAGGUGCGGACCCAUGUUGAACUGAGGGGGUUCAAUUGAACCCCCUGAAAAAAAAAUUUCCUACUUACCCCCCUAGAGUGAUUUUUUUUUGAACCCCCUGAAAUUUGAAAAUUGCACCCAGGUCCCAGGCCCCACUCCCCAAUCAACACUCAGUCACUCAUUCCUCACUCCUCUCUCUCUUCCUCACGCACUCACUCUCUCACGGUCUCAACUCUCACCUCAUUCACUCACGAAUCACCACCGAUCCAGACCACCACCGAUCCACCACUUGACCACCGGCCACCAGCCCACCACAACGGUACCACCACACCAGGCCCCAGCCACCACCACCGAUCCGAUUCAGGGUUCACUUUUUUCUCUCUCUCUCACGCACUCAUCAUUCAUCAACGCUGCAACCCACCAGGCGGCAGCCACCAACGCCACCAGUCCACCACCACCGCCCACCGGCGGCCGCCAACGCACCACUACUCUCUCUCAAGAUGCUGCUGUUGAAGACUUGAAGCUUGAAGGUCAUGGAUAAAUUUGAACCCCCUGACCCCGGGGUCCUGGAUCCGCCACUGGUGAUAACAUAAGAUUCGACAUCAAAAUAAGUAAAAGGCUGUUAGGUUUCACACCAACGUGCCAAACGUCCUCAAAACAGAAAUACCUUACUUUUCAAAAAACAGAAUUGGUCUGGACCAAUCAGAUUUUUUUUUUAAGGGUUAAGGGUCAUAUUAGUCCUUGUGUUUGUAAAAACGUUUGAUUUUGGUCCCUCAGUCAAAAAACCGCCAGUAAUUGUAUUAUAAACCGCCAGUAACGGUAAAAAAAACCGCCACUAAUUGUCAUUUUUUGGCUAAGGGACCAAAAUCAAACACUUUUACAAACACAAGGACUAAUAUGACCCUUAACCCUUUUUUUAAAUAGUCAUAUCAAUUCAUUUUAGUGGUGGAUAAUGGGUGAAAUCCUUUCUCUUAAUUAUGCCUUGUGUCUCAAUUUACAAAUAAAGGUUGAAAAGAAAUUCUCAUGCAUUUAUUUUUGA